CCUACGGGUGGCAGCAGUGGGGAAUAUUGCACAAUGGGGGAAACCCUGAUGCAGCGACGCCGCGUGAGUGAAGAAGUCUUUCGGUAUGUAAAGCUCUAUCAGCAGGGAAGAAAAUGACGGUACCUGACUACGAAGCCCCGGCUAACUACGUGCCAGCAGCCGCGGUCAUACGUAGGGGGCAAGCGUUAUCCGGAUUUACUGGGUGUAACGGGAGCGUAGACGGCGGAACAAGUCAGAAGUGAAAACCCGGGGCUCAACCCUGGGAGUGCUUUUGAAACUGUUUGGCUGGAGUGCAGGAGAGGUAAGCGGAAUUCCUAGUGUAGCGGUGAAAUGCGUAGAUAUUAGGAGGAACACCAGUGGCGAAGGCGGCUUACUGGACUGUAACUGACGUUGAGGCUCGAAAGCGUGGGGAGCAAACAGGAUUAGAUACCCCUGUAGUC
rnacentral:rRNA from 1 species